rnacentral:rRNA from 1 species
UGGGGAAUAUUGCGCAAUGGGGGGAACCCUGACGCAGCCAUGCCGCGUGAAUGAAGAAGGCCUUCGGGUUGUAAAGUUCUUUCGGUAUUGAGGAAGGGGUGUGUGCUAAUAGUACACAUCAUUGACGUUAAAUACAGAAGAAGCACCGGCUAACUCCGUGCCAGCAGCCGCGGUAAUACGGAGGGUGCGAGCGUUAAUCGGAAUGACUGGGCGUAAAGGGCACGCAGGCGGUUAUUUAAGUGAGGUGUGAAAGCCCUGGGCUUAACCUAGGAAUUGCAUUUCAGACUGGGUAACUAGAGUACUUUAGGGAGGGGUAGAAUUCCACGUGUAGCGGUGAAAUGCGUAGAGAUGUGGAGGAAUACCGAAGGCGAAGGCAGCCCCUUGGGAAUGUACUGACGCUCAUGUGCGAAAGCGUGGGGAGCAAACAGGAUUAGAUACCCUGGUAGUCCACGCUGUAAACGCUGUCGAUUUGGGGGUUGGGGUUUAACUCUGGCGCCCGUAGCUAACGUGAUAAAUCGACCGCCUGGGGAGUACGGCCGCAAGGUUA